GAGUAUCACAAGAAUCGGUCAGAAACGGAAACACUGGUUGCUGGUCAAGAGAAAUCGACGGAGAGGCCUCUGUCUAAAAGAAGAUGAGUUUCUUCUUUUAAUUGAGCUGCUCCAGUAGCAGGAACCAAACUACAAAUUCCUUAGACAUUUAAAUGAUGUUCAUAUUUUAAUGCUUGAAUAUCAGCUCUGUAAAUACCUAAAAUGGGGCUAAGUGACAAUUGGAUAACAUUGGCCUGACAUUGUCACUGGCCUUUCUCUACUGUCAAAGAUGGAUUUGCAUAAUUAUGCUGAAAGCUCGGAAACUGCACCCAGCAGGAGGUUUCCUGGCUGGUGUUAGGUUUUAGUCAUGCUCCAGCUGUGAAUCUCCAGAUGAAGAAAAUCUCCUUUCAGAAGUGAACAGACAGUGAGAGUACACACUUUCUAAGACAGUAUAGAAACAGCUUAACAAUAAUUUAACUUACAUAGUGAUUUCCAAGGUAUAAUUAAGAUAGGCCUGAUAAGCAACUGAUUGACUGAACAACCUUUUGCUUGGUAUCAAAAGAGCUUCAGAGACGAGAGAGUUCAAGCAAUGUUACCUCAUAAAACUCUUCUUGAUUAAAAUUCUUUUAAGCUGGCCAGAUGCCUGAUAGAAGCAAACUUCUAAAGACUGCCACUCUAACAGAGAAAGCACGCAGCUUGGAGAGGAGAGACAACUGACUUGCUGACCUGUGUGAGGCCACCUAUGAGAUACUCUGAGGCUGCAGGACUGGCCUUGAUUUCAUCUGACAGGCAAUAAAUUGGCCGACCUUUGUGACCAGUGAAAUAAGGCACUAUGAUUAUCAGCUACCUCAUGAAGAUACUAUGAUUUGACAGGAGAGGAAGAGCUCCCCAAAGAACACAGGGUACCAAACUGAAAAACCAAGAUAUACAAUACAAACACUUAUAAUCGAAUUUUCUGAGCACAAGAGUCCAGAUUCAGACCUCUAUUCAGAUGUUCUCCAGGGAUUUGGCACUGAUUGGAAGUGAGUCUGUCCUGGGAUCUUGCUUGCUGAAGAAUAUUUGUGCUGUUAGA